rnacentral:rRNA from 1 species
AGUGAACGCUGGCGGUAGGCCUAACACAUGCAAGUCGAACGGCAGCACAGUAAGAGCUUGCUCUUACGGGUGGCGAGUGGCGGACGGGUGCUGAAUACAUCGGAAUCUACUUUUUCGUGGGGGAUAACGUAGGGAAACUUACGCUAAUACCGCAUACGACCUACGGGUGAAAGCAGGGGAUCUUCGGACCUUGCGCGAUUGAAUGAGCCGAUGUCGGAUUAGCUAGUUGGCGGGGUAAAGGCCCACCAAGGCGACGAUCCGUAGCUGGUCUGAGAGGAUGAUCAGCCACACUGGAACUGAGACACGGUCCAGACUCCUACGGGAGGCAGCAGUGGGGAAUAUUGGACAAUGGGCGCAAGCCUGAUCCAGCCAUACCGCGUGGGUGAAGAAGGCCUUCGGGUUGUAAAGCCCUUUUGUUGGGAAAGAAAAGCAGCAGGUUAAUACCCCGCUGUUCUGACGGUACCCAAAGAAUAAGCACCGGCUAACUUCGUG